AACCUGCCAAUCCCCUCAGGCUUCAGGAAAAGGGUCAGCUGCCAACGACACUGAGUAAAUAAAUACAACUAAUAUUCCACCCAAAUACACUAAAAACAGCACCAACGAGAUGAAAGACACCCCCAAACUCACCAAUCACCCACACCCCACAACAGACCCCAACACUAACCCUACAACCCCAUAAUAAGGAGAAGGAUUAGAAGCUACUGCCAACCCACCUAAAAUAAAACAGAUACUUAAAAAAACCAUGAAGUACGUCAUAAGGUUCUUACCUGGACUCUCUCCAAGACCUAUGGCCUGAAAAACCACCGUUGUAAAUUCAACUAUAAGAACCUCAUCCCCAAAAUUUUCUAUCUAACCUAACAACCCAUCCCUCAAUAUCAUCAAUUCCAGUCAAAUACUUCUUUCUUUUAGACUCCUCCAAGUACAAAACUAUUAUCCAACCAACAAACUAAAAAUACAACAAUUGCAAUAUAAAAACAUACAACCAACAGUCCCUGUAGCUUAUAAAAAGCAUAACACUGAAGAUGUUAAGAUGGCUGCCUCAUACACCCAAGGACAAAAGACUUAGUCCUAACCUUAUAGUUAGUUCUUGCUGCAUAUAUACAUGCAAGUAUCCGCACCCCAGUGAAAAUGCCCUCAACAUCUUAUCAAGAUAACAGGAGCAGGUAUCAGGCCCACUCCUAAUUGUAGCCCAAGACGCCUUGCCCAGCCACACCCCCACGGGUAUUCAGCAGUAAUUGAUAUUAAGCAAUAAGUGAAAACUUGACUUAGUCAAAGCAAUCCAUCAGGGUUGGUAAAUCUUGUGCCAGCCACCGCGGUCAUACAAGAAACCCAAAUUAACCUUACACGGCGUAAAGAGUGGUCUUUCAUUAUCAACUCAACUAAGAUUGAAAUGCAACUAAGCUGUUAUAAGCACAAGAUGCACCUAACACCCCUUAUAAAAAUGAUCUUAGCCUCAUGAUUAAUAAAAUUCCACGAAAGCUAGGACACAAACUGGGAUUAGAUACCCCACUAUGCCUUGCCCUAAAUCCUGAUGUUUAUUCUACCUAAACAUCCGCCUGAGAACUACGAGCACAAACGCUUAAAACUCUAAGGACUUGGCGGUGCCCCAAACCCACCUAGAGGAGCCUGUUCUAUAAUCGAUAACCCACGAUACACCCAACCACCUCUUGCCACACCAGCCUAUAUACCGCCGUCCCCAGCUCACCCCUAACUUGAGGGCCUAACAGUGAGCACAAUAGCCCUAUUCCGCUAGCAAGACAGGUCAAGGUAUAGCUUAUGAAGUGGAAGAAAUGGGCUACAUUUUCUAGUAUAGAAAACCCACGACAAGGAAUAUGAAACCAUUCCUAAAAGGCGGAUUUAGCAGUAAAGCAGGACAAUCAUGCCUCCUUUAAGCUGGCCCUGGGACACGUACAUACCGCCCGUCACCCUCUUCACAAGCUACUAACACCUAUUAUACAUAAUUCCCCAUUAAGCUAAAGACGAGGCAAGUCGUAACAAGGUAAGUGUACCGGAAGGUGCACUUAGUCUACCAAGAUGUAGCUAUAACAAAAGCAUUCAGCUUACACCUGAAAGAUACCUGCACUGUACCAGGUCAUCUUGAAGCCUACUCUAGCCCACCCCUCCCCAACAUAAACUAAUUACCCUACCCUAAAGAAACCAAAACAUUUUUUCCCCUAAUCCUAGUAUAGGCGAUAGAAAGGUGACCAAGGAGCAAUAGAGACUACGUACCGCAAGGGAAAGAUGAAAUAACAAUGAAAAAUUAAGCACUAAAUAGCAAAGACUAACUCUUGUACCUUUUGCAUCAUGAUUUAGCAAGAAUUAACCAAGCAAAACGCCAAUUUAAGCUUGUUAUCCCGAAACCCAUGCGAGCUACUUACGAGCAGCUAUUUACUGAGCUAACCCGUCUCUGUUGCAAAAGAGUGGGACGACUCGUCAGUAGAGGUGAAAAGCCAACCGAGCUGGGUGAUAGCUGGUUGCCUAUGAAAUGAAUUUAAGUUCAUCCUCAAUUCUUCCUAAAGGACCCUCACCGAACCUACAUGAAAUAGAUCGAGGAAUAUCUAAAGGAGGUACAGCUCCUUUAAAAAGUACACACUCUCCUCCAGCGGAUAAGUACCCCUUACCCCCCUUACUGUGGGCCCUAAAGCAGCCACCACCAAAGAAUGCGUCAAAGCUCAGCUCCAAAAAAAUCCGAAACCCCCCACGACUCCCUCCCCCCUAAUAGGCUAACUUAUAAUAAUAAGAGAAUUAAUGCUAAAAUGAGUAACUAGGGACCCUUCCCCUCUAUGGCACAAGCUUACAUCCAACAUUAUUAACAAAUCACAAGAUAUAUACCAACACUCAACAAGACUUAGUAUCACAGAACCUGUUAACCCGCCCAUGGAGUGCCCUAAAGAAAGAUUAAAAUCUGUAAAAGGAACUAGGCAACCCUAAGGCCCGACUGUUUACCAAAAACAUAGCCUUCAGCAGACCAAGUAUUGAAGGUGAGGCCUGCCCAGUGACAAAACGUUCAACGGCCGCGGUAUCCUAACCGUGCGAAGGUAGCGCAAUCAAUUGUCCCAUAAAUCGGGACAUGUAUGAAUGGCUAAACGAGGCCCUAACUGUCUCUUACAGAUAAUCAGUGAAAUUGAUCUCCCUGUACAAAAGCAGGGAUUACAACAUAGGACAAAAAGACCCUGUGGAACUUCAAAAUCAACAGCCACUCCCCCAUACUACCCUCCCUACCCCUGGAUUAUUCCCCGGGACUCUAUUGGCCUGUAUUUUUUGGUUGGGGCGACCUUGGAGAAAAACUGAUCCUCCAAAAAUUAGACCACUCCUCUAUACCAAGAACAACCUAUCAACGUACUAACAGUAACCAGACCCAAUAUUAUUGAUCAAUGAACCUAGCUACCCCAGGGAUAACAGCGCAAUCUCCCUCAAGAGCCCAAAUCGACAGGGAGGUUUACGACCUCGAUGUUGGAUCAGAACAUCCUAGUGGUGCAGCCGCUACUAAGGGUUCGUUUGUUCAACGAUUAAUAGUUCUACGUGAUCUGAGUUCAGACCGGAGCAAUCCAGGUCGGUUUCUAUCCAUGACAAACUCUUUCCAGUACGAAAGGACAGAAAGAGUAAGGCCAAUACCCCAAGCACGCCUUCGCCCAAAGAUAUGAACCCAACUAAAUCUCCUAGGGCUAACCCCCUCUAUUCUCCUAGAAAAGGACCGCUAGCGUGGCAGAGCUUGGUAAAUGCAGAAGGCUUAAGCCCUUUACCCAGAGGUUCAAAUCCUCUCCCUAGCUCUCUUCCCCCAUCACAUGACCACCCACACCAAUCUAAUCCACCUCACUAUAUCACUAUCCUAUGCUCUACCAAUUUUAAUCGCUGUAGCCUUUCUAACAUUAGUCGAACGCAAAGUUUUAAGCUAUAUACAAACCCGAAAAGGACCCAAUAUCGUAGGACCAUUUGGUCUUCUACAACCCAUGGCAGAUGGGGUAAAACUAUUCAUUAAAGAGCCAAUUCGCCCAUCCACCUCAUCUCCCUACCUAUUUAUUGCCACCCCAAUAUUAGCCCUUCUCCUAGCAAUUACCAUCUGAACCCCACUCCCCCUCCCUUUCCCUCUUACAGAUAUAAACUUAGGCAUACUCUUCCUCCUUGCCUUAUCCAGCCUUGCAGUUUACUCAAUCCUAUGAUCUGGAUGAGCCUCAAACUCAAAAUACGCACUAAUUGGUGCCCUACGAGCAGUUGCACAAACAAUCUCCUAUGAAGUUACACUAGCCAUUAUCCUUCUAUGUGUAAUCAUCUUCAGUGGAAACUACACCCUCAAUACCCUCGCUACUACCCAAGAACCAAUAUAUCUUAUUUUCUCCUCUUGACCACUAGCAAUAAUAUGAUAUAUCUCUACACUCGCAGAAACAAACCGUGCCCCAUUCGAUCUCACAGAAGGAGAGUCAGAACUAGUCUCAGGAUUCAACGUAGAAUAUGCCAACAUCAUACUAAUAAAUACACUAACCACCAUCCUAUUUCUAAACCCAAGUACACUUAACAUUUCCCAAGAACUUUACCCACUCGCCUUAGCCACAAAAACCCUUCUUCUUUCCGCAGGCUUUCUAUGAAUCCGUGCCUCUUACCCUCGAUUCCGUUAUGACCAACUAAUGCAUCUACUAUGAAAAAACUUUCUACCACUAACACUAUCACUAUGCUUAUGACAUAUUAGCCUACCAAUCUCAUAUGCAGGUUUACCACCCUACCUAAGACACUCAAGGAAAUGUGCCUGAACUACAAAGGGUCACUAUGAUAAGGUGAACAUAGAGGUACACCAGCCCUCUCAUUUCCUAGACUUAGGAAAGUAGGAAUCGAACCUACACAGAAGGAAUCAAAAUCCUUCACACUUCCUUUAUAUUAUUUCCUAGUAAGGUCAGCUAAUUAAGCUAUCGGGCCCAUACCCCGAAAAUGAUGGUUUAUCUCCUUCCCUUACUAAUGAACCCCCAGGCUAAACUAAUUUUCUCCAUAAGCCUCCUCCUAGGAACAACUAUCACAAUCUCAAGCAACCAUUGAAUAAUGGCAUGAACCGGGCUCGAAAUUAACACCUUAGCUAUCCUCCCUUUAAUCUCAAAAUCUCAUCACCCACGAGCCAUUGAAGCUUCAACUAAAUACUUUUUAGUCCAAGCAACUGCUUCAACAUUACUCCUCUUUUCCAGUAUAUCAAACGCAUGAUUUACCGGCCAAUGAGACAUCACCCAACUUACUCACCCAGCAUCGUGCAUAUUACUGACAACUGCAAUCUCAAUAAAACUAGGCCUGGUCCCAUUCCACUUCUGAUUUCCGGAAGUCCUGCAAGGUUCUUCCCUUAUAACAAGCUUACUACUAGCUACAGUCAUAAAAUUCCCUCCAACCAUCCUCCUCCUCCUUAUUUCUCCUUCACUCAAUCCAACCAUACUGGUCAUAAUAGCCAUCGCUUCCGCAGCCUUGGGAGGCUGAAUAGGGCUCAACCAAACUCAAAUUCGCAAAAUCAUAGCCUUUUCAUCUAUCUCCCACCUAGGCUGAAUAGCAAUCAUCCUCAUUUAUAACCCCAAACUCACAUUAAUCACUUUCUACCUUUACUCAUUAACAACAGCCGCUAUUUUCUUCGCUCUUAAUUCCACCAACACCCUAAAACUCUCAGCUCUCAUAACUACAUGGUCCAAAAUUCCCACACUAACUGCAACCCUCAUACUUACUCUUUUAUCCCUUGCAGGACUUCCACCCCUAACCGGAUUCCUGCCUAAAUGACUAAUCAUCCAAGAAUUGACCAAACAAGAGCUAACAACCGCAGCAACUAUCAUUGCCCUACUCUCCCUGCUAGGACUUUUCUUCUACCUUCGCUUUGCCUAUUGUGCAACAAUCACCCUCCCACCCAACUCCGUUAACCAUAUAAAACAGUGACAAGUUAGCAAACCUAUUAACACCCUAACCUCUACACUCACCAUGCUGUCAAUUAUACUCUUACCUUUAUCUCCUACAAUUCUCACAAUUCCAUAGAAACUUAGGUUACUUAAACUGAGGGCCUUCAAAGCCCUAGACAAGAGUUAUCUCCUCUUAGUUUCUGUUAAGAUCCGCAGGACAUUAUCCUGCAUCUCCUGAAUGCAACCCAGGCACUUUAACUAAGCUAGGACCUUUCCUAGACAGAUGGGCUUCGAUCCCAUAUCUUUCUAAUUAACAGUUAGAUGCCAUAACCACCAGGCUCCUGUCUACUAGACCCUGAUGCAUACUUAAUGCAUAUCUUUGAGCUUGCAACUCAAUAUGAAAUUCACUACAGAGUCGAUAAGAAGAGGAAUUAAACCUCUGUCAAAAGGUCUACAGCCUAACGCCUUAACUCUCGGCCAUCUUACCUAUGACUUUCAUCAACCGAUGACUAUUCUCAACAAACCACAAAGAUAUUGGUACCCUAUACUUAAUUUUCGGCGCCUGAGCCGGCAUGAUUGGUACUGCCCUAAGUCUCCUUAUCCGAGCAGAACUUGGACAACCAGGAACCCUUCUAGGAGACGACCAAAUCUAUAAUGUAAUUGUUACCGCCCAUGCUUUUGUAAUAAUCUUCUUUAUAGUAAUACCUAUUAUAAUUGGAGGAUUUGGCAACUGACUAGUCCCCCUAAUAAUUGGUGCCCCCGAUAUAGCAUUCCCACGCAUGAACAACAUAAGUUUCUGACUUCUUCCCCCAUCAUUCCUUCUCCUCCUAGCCUCAUCUACAAUUGAAGCCGGAGUAGGAACUGGAUGAACCGUAUACCCACCAUUAGCUGGCAAUCUAGCACAUGCUGGAGCUUCAGUAGACCUGGCCAUCUUCUCACUUCAUCUUGCAGGCAUUUCCUCAAUCCUAGGUGCCAUCAACUUCAUUACCACUGCAAUUAACAUGAAACCACCAGCCCUAUCACAAUAUCAAACCCCCUUGUUCGUAUGAUCUGUCCUAAUCACCGCAGUUCUUCUCCUCCUCUCUCUACCAGUUCUCGCUGCCGGUAUCACCAUACUCCUGACAGACCGCAAUCUCAACACUACAUUCUUUGACCCCGCAGGAGGUGGAGAUCCAGUUCUAUACCAACACCUCUUCUGAUUUUUUGGUCAUCCAGAAGUCUACAUUCUUAUCCUACCAGGAUUUGGUAUUAUCUCACACGUUGUAGCCUACUAUGCUGGCAAAAAAGAACCAUUCGGCUAUAUAGGAAUAGUCUGAGCCAUACUAUCCAUCGGCUUCUUAGGCUUUAUCGUAUGAGCUCAUCAUAUAUUCACAGUAGGAAUAGACGUAGAUACCCGAGCAUAUUUUACAUCUGCCACAAUAAUUAUUGCAAUUCCCACUGGCAUUAAAGUCUUUAGCUGAUUAGCUACCCUACACGGAGGUACUAUUAAAUGAGAACCACCUAUACUAUGAGCCCUAGGAUUCAUUUUCCUAUUCACUAUUGGAGGACUUACAGGCAUUGUCCUAGCUAACUCUUCCCUAGACAUCGCCCUCCAUGAUACCUAUUAUGUAGUAGCACAUUUCCAUUACGUCUUAUCUAUAGGUGCCGUAUUUGCAAUCCUAGCAGGAUUCACACACUGAUUCCCACUCUUUACAGGAUACACUCUCCACCCAACAUGAGCUAAAGCACACUUUGGUGUAAUAUUUACAGGAGUAAACCUAACCUUCUUCCCCCAACAUUUCCUAGGCCUAGCUGGCAUGCCACGACGAUACUCAGACUACCCAGACGCCUAUACUCUAUGAAACACUUUAUCUUCCAUUGGUUCACUCAUCUCUAUAAUCGCUGUAAUUAUACUUAUAUUCAUUA